UACGAAGGGGGCUAGCGUUGCUCGGAAUGACUGGGCGUAAAGGGCGCGUAGGCGGUUUGUACAGUCAGGUGUGAAAUUCCCGGGCUCAACCUGGGGGCUGCACUUGAUACGUAUGGACUGGAGUGGGGAAGAGGGUCGUGGAAUUCCCAGUGUAGAGGUGAAAUGCGUAGAUACUGGGAGGAACACCAGUGGCGAAGGCGGCUACCUGGACCGGUUCUGACGCUGAGGCGCGAAAGCGUGGGUAGCAAACAGG
rnacentral:rRNA from 1 species